UACGUAGGGUGCAAGCGUUGUCCGGAUUUAUUGGGCGUAAAGAGCGCGUAGGCGGCUCGUUAAGUGAGAAGUGAAAGCUGUGGGCUCAACCCACAAACCGCUUUUCAUACUGGCGAGCUGGAGUGAUGCAGAGGUGGAUAGAAUUCCCGGUGUAGCGGUGAAAUGCGUUGAUAUCGGGAGGAAUACCCGUGGCGAAGGCGACUCUUUGGCCUGUAACUGACGCUGAGGCGCGAAAGCGUGGGGAGCAAACAGG
rnacentral:rRNA from 1 species